CAUAGGUCCCGGAGAAGGAGCAGAUUCCAUUGCGGAUGGCGGCAUCGGCGGAGAAGCCAUAUCGGGAACUGAUAAUGGGCUUGGGCUUGGGCCCAUAGGAGUAGUUGGUUGGGCCAUUGGGCUUGAAGAUGGAGUCAUUGGCAUCAUAGGUGGUGGAGUCAUGGGCAUUGGUGGUGGAGCCAUGGGCAUAGGUGGUGGAGUCAUAGGCAUAGGUGGUGGAGCCAUAGGCAUAGGUGGUGGAGUCAUCAUUGGCAUCGGAGAGCUGCGGCCGCUAGACAUCGGCGGCAUCGACAUUGAGCCAGAAGGAGCCAUCAUGGGAGAUUGAGCUAAAGAGAAAUGAAUUAAAACCAUAGGCAAUGUGACCAAAAGGAGGGCUUGUGAAGAGGCCAUGGUUAUGUGUGUUGAAUAGUGGGUGUUAUGUAAAGUGAUAUAUAGAGAGAGGUAUGUGAGUUGUAAAAGAAUGGGAGAGAAAAGUGAAGGUUCUUUGUGCUAUUGGGGAUAUAUAUUAGAGAUUAUUUGUUUUUAUUUUUGGACCGUUGGAUAUAGUGUGUGACACGUAUCAGUCGAUAGAUAGGUAUGAGAUGCUGAUUUAUUUUCCUCCACAUGUUGAAAAAAAAAAAGAGAUAGAAGAAAAUUCCAAAGUGAAAUUUCUUUGUAGGUACAGAUAGAAUAAUCAAUACACAUGAAAAUGGGACUAUUAUGAUUAUAAUGCAUUUUAUUUUCAUUCUUUAGUGGAACCAUCAAUCGGAUUCACGGGUUGGUUUUUAAGGGGGCCAUAUAUCAAAAUUAUUAGGAAUGUCAUUUAAUGGUGUUUGUUAGUCAUUAAUAUGCUAAAACGAUGAAAUUUUGAAAUGUUAGUAGACUUUUAUAACCAAGUCAAGAUAUAAUUUCAUCAGAAAAAAACAAUUUAUAUGGAAAAGGAUAAAAGACCAUAAUGCUAUGGUACAAGAGAAAAGACAAAUAGGGACCAUUUGUGUUGCAUUUGGUCACACAGGCCUAAUAAGCUCCACGGCCAAUAUUAUGUCCGCACCCACUAACCGACAUUUUUGGUUACCCCAUACUCUUUUCUUUUUUCCUCUCACGAGUACUCUUUGUCCCUCAUUUACUAUUUAUCCAUCUUUUAAAUUAUACUUUUUAAAACAAACAUGUAACAUGUUCUAUACAUAUAUAUAUAUACUUUGAUUUCGUUGUUUUAUUGUACAUUUCUUCAGCUCGUUUGAAUUUAACCGUUAUGAUCGUCCCUUGAUCAAAUGUAUUCUCUCAACUCAUUAGUUCAGGAUCCAGGAAAAUUAGAUGAAAUAGACAAAUAGUACAUGCAUCACUUGAAGUAACUAUAAUUACUAUACCGUUAAAGUAGUUGUAUAGAGAUUUCAAUAUUAUAACGUUAGGGCUCUAAAUAUAUGGGCUCAUUAUAAAUGGGCAUGUAGUCGCAUGAGGCCGAAUCCCAGCUGGCAGAGAAAUGAGCGGGAAAUUUUAUGUACAAAAUGCUCGAAACAAUGUCACACGUAGCGCACGUGCCAUUCUCCCGCCCGUUUCUCCAUUUUCCCCAAAUCUCAAAUUCUCAAUCCCUAGUUUCUCUCUCUCCCCAGAUUCACAGCAUUUGCAUUUUGCAAUGUCUGAAGACUCGGAACCGCGUCAACUCGGGAGAUCGACCGCCGGCGGAGAGCUAAUAGGUCUUGGUCUCACUGAGUCAGACGGCGAGGAGCAUUUCUAUCACCAGAAAGCUUUGGAGUUAUGUCGUCACCUACUCUUCGUUGGCCACUCAGAACUAGUUACAGAUCUUUCUUCACAAUGUACACACUUCCAAGCUUCGCCUGAGCUCGUCAAAGUUCUUUGCUCGAUUCCUAAUUCCCCUGUCUCCCUUACCGGAGACGGCUUAUCCGUGACUCUCUCGCGCGAGUUGCUCUCCGAUCCGGCCUGUUUCGCCUGUAGUUUGGGUGUGCCGGAAAAUGUUUUGUUUGAACAGAUUACGCGUUUCUCGGAUCCGAGAGCUCCCAAGCCUAAGCGAAAUGGUCUCGGGCAUAUGGGAGGUACUAACUUAGCACUUGUUUCAUUUUAGUCGUUAUCUGGCAUCUGAUUUUGUUGUUUAGUAGUCACACUUACAUAGAGAUUCUCUUCUUGAUUAUGGAUUAUUAUGAAAAAUUUCAGAAAAUGAGGAGCAAGAAGAGCUGCAGCUCAUGCCAUUGCCCAAAAGAAGCCGAAAGGAGGAACCAGAUGUAAGUAAUCUCUUUUAACAAAAAGAUGAAUUUCUCAAGGUAUAAUUCAAUUUCAAAAAUGGGGAGUUGAUUCAUUGAUUUUUUUUUUUCUAGGUGAAUGACUACUCUGUAAUGGAUAGCAGAGCUAACGACAUGACAAAUAUUGCCAAUGGGUCCAUGCUUGAGACACUGAAAGCUUUUGAAUCCCAAGCUUCGCUUUUAGUUUUAGGUAGAGAUGGUCGAGAAAUAGGAGCAUUUGACCAAAGUCCUUGGUCUGGUCCACGGACUAGAAUUUUUGGAUGCGAGAUUUUCUCCAAUGCUUGUGUGGAUGUCGAUCCUAUGCACUGCUUGGGGGAACGCAAGCAAGAUUCGCCAUCUCCUCGAGAGGUUGGAUACUGUAAGCAAAUUGAGAUUGAAGAUUUUCAAAUUGUUGAUAACCUAAGAUUAUUCGAAGACGAUGAGGAUAAAAACGAGAAGGAUUUGUUCCAUAAGGGGGAGAUACGAACUCCCGAUGUGCAGUCCGAUCCUGCUGCCCCUUCGAUGCCAUCAGAAAAUGAGUUAAAAUCUGUAUAUAUUGUAGAGGACACUGAAGAUAUGCUUGCCUUGAGUUGUAACCCAUUAAAGCAAGAGGACAACGCUGUAGACAUCUUCAGCACCCCUGUCAAAGAGCUGCCUUUGAUGCCUUCUGCAACAAUAGCUAAUCAAGAUAGAUCCUUGGUACAGAAAACACAGGAUCUGUGCAAAUUAUCGGGAAACAGCAAAGGUUACAGCUGUUCCCCUGAGAAAAAACACACCAGGAAAUGUAAAGCUAUCCAGAGGUCAAAGCAGAAUCUUAACUCCGUUCGACCUAAAGAUCAGAAGGUAGACAUUUCUUUUUUAUCUAGAGUGAGCCCCUUGCAAUUCCGUUUUUUUAUUUAUUUAAACAGCUUUCCAUGUUGCUGAAAGUACUUUUAUACCAACAUUGAGGAUUAAUCCACUAUAUUAAGAUUUCUCAUAUCUGUUGUUUAGGAUGAGUCAAAACAGAACACUUUUCCAGUUUUUGAUUCUUACACUAUUGUAGAGGAAGAAGGCUCAGGUACAUUUUCCUUACAAUUUCAUCUAUAUUCCUGAUUUUGUUGAAACAGCUUAAUUGGUUAUCGGCUAAUGAUUGGUGAAAUCCAACUGUAGGUGGCUACGGGAUUGUUUAUAAGGCAAAGAGGAAAACCGAUGGAAAAGAGUUUGCCAUUAAAUGUAUGAAACAGAAUGAUAUGUUGCUAGAUUUUUUCACUUCGUCACAUCGUUUUUGGUUGGCAAUUUGGUCUCAUGUGUUUUCCAUACAGGUCCCCAUGCUGGUGCUCAGAAAUACUAUGUUAAUAAUGAACUCCGAAUGCUGGAGCGUUUUGGGUAAGUAACAAAGUUUGAUCCGCUAAUGAACCUCCUACAUAUUUAAACCCAAAUAUCUGAAAUUGCCUAAAUGUUGGUUCACUUAGGGGGAAAAACUUUAUAAUAAAGUUUGAAGGCUGUCUUAAGAACGGAGAUUCCGAUUGCAUGAUCCUUGAGCACCUUGAACAUGACAGACCUGAUUGUUUGAGGAGAGAAAUAGACGUGUAUCAGCUACAGUUGUACGGAUACUGCAUGUUCAAAGCUCUGUCAAGUCUUCAUAAGCAGGUAAAGCAGAUGUUGGACUAAAACUUUUGAGCAUUCAUAUUUCAAUCACGCAACUAACCAGUUAUAUUGUUUUCUUUUGCAAAUGUGAAGGGUGUUGUUCAUAGGGAUGUUAAGCCAGGCAACUUUCUUUUCUCUAGGAAGAGUAGCAAAGGCUGUCUCAUUGACUUUAACCUCGCCAUGGUUAGCAUUUUUCUGGCACCCUUCUCUUAUUAAUACUUUUCUAGCAACAUUUAUUGGUUAGUGUUUUGUAUAAUAGAAUUUGAGGUUACGAAACCUGUUUAGUGCUCUUAUAUAAUAUUUAGGUCAGUGUCUACUAGAGGCACUGAAAAGCUUGAGCUGAGCUAUCACAAACGUUUGUGUUCAUAGUUUGUGUUAUGUUCCCACCCACUGAUAUUAAUUUCACUUUCCUCUGUGGCUUAAUUUAGGAUUUGCACCAGAAGCACAGGAGAGCCGGUAAACUUCUCCCCUCAUGCAUUUGGGUUGAAUUAAGUAAAACAAAUGGAAACUAAAGCUAUCCCUUAUAUGUAUAUCAGAUAAAUCAAAAGCAGCUACAGAUCUCCCAACCGCCAGCAAGAAGCAUCAUACUUUGAUUAAAUCUCCUGACACGACCAACCGAGUGACCAACAAAUCUUCUCAGAAAACUUUAGCGCCAAAUAGUCUGAAGAAAGCAGCGGGAAAGAUAAGAGCUCAGACUGACAUGAGUAGAUGGGAGAGGUUCAAUAGCCAAGGCGCGGAAGGGUCUGGCUUAACUUCGGCCAAAGAUGUGACCAGCACAAGGAACCACCCUUCAGGUGAAAAGAGGAGAGAGCCUUUGCCAUGUCAUGGAAGGAAAGAGCUUCUAAACUUUCUGCAAGAGACAAUGUCUGGUUCAAUUCCAAACCACGAAGUAUCAUCCAAAGCUCCUACAUCUAUGAGAAAACGUGUUGCUGCUCAUCCAGGGAAAGCUGAGAAACAGCUUCUUCAUCUGACCCCAAUGCCGCUGCGCUCUAAUGGUCGGCGUGAAGCAGGUGGAUUCCUGGUGUAUAAUUUGACUCUUGUUUUUUGUUUCAGAGUUUAACUUUAACCCUAAGAAAAAAAUCUGACUUACUAGGGGAUGUAAGUAAGAAGAAAGAUGGUCCUUGCUCAGGAACGAAAGGCUACCGAGCACCAGAGGUACGUCAACUGUAACUAUCGCUCACUUUGCUUAUAUGGUAGAGAGAGAGAAUGUUAGUGGGUUUAGGCUUCCGAGUUACUAGUAAAUCCAUUUAUAUAUCAUACAAAUCUUAUGCUUUGAGCUACUUAUUAGAACAUUUUAUGAUGGGAAAGCUAAUUCUCUGGGGCGGUUCUUGGCUGAAUUGGCUUGUGCAGGUUUGCUUAAGAUCUUUGCACCAAGGACCUAAGAUCGACGUGUGGUCUGCAGGAGUUACUCUAUUAUAUCUAAUGAUGGGAAAAACACCUUUUACUGGUGACCCUGAACAGUUAAGAUUUGUAAUUGACUUACUUUGCCAUCACUUCAUUGCAUUCUGUUUUCUUUCUUUCCUUCUUACAACGGCCUCUUGAUUCUCAGGAACAUAAAGGACAUUGCGCAGCUACGAGGCAGUGAAGAAUUAUGGGAAGUAGCCAAGCUGCAUAACCGUGAAUCUUCUUUCCCUGAGGUAAUAAUCGCACCUUAUCACCCUUGUAGACUCUUCUUUGCAUCGAUUGCUGCAUUUGUGUGGCAUAAUAUGGCUAUGUACACAUGGUCGGUUCUUAAAUCUAGAGAAAGAGAAGGUUGAUCUGGCUAAUAUCGCAUGCUCUGUUCUCCUUUACCGCCAGCAUUUGGAUUUAAAUAUCAAAUACUGUAAGAGGGUUUUCAGUUAUAGCGCUUUGGGUCCUAUUGCGGAAAACGGGGUAUAUAUUAUUAUAUACAUUACAUGAUCUGAUACGUUGUAUGGAUAGAUGAUAAAAAAGAGAUGAAUUCACGUAGCAAUUUUGUUUUUGCUCCAGGAAUUAUACGAGUCAAGGUACUUGAAGAGGAUGGAGCUGAGAAAAUGGUGCGAAAUCAACACAAAACGCAGAGACUUCCUAGACGUGAUUCCACGGUCGCUGCUUGACCUUGUUGAUAAGUGUUUGACUGUUAACCCAAGGCUACGAAUCGGCGCAGAGGAUGCUCUCAAGCACGACUUCUUUUAUACAAUCCAUGAAAAUGAAACCCUUAGAAAACAAAGGCUCCUAAAGCAGCAGCAAACGGGAACGCAGCCUCCAGUGGUGGCUAAUUCAGUAGGCCAACCGCUAAGCUAGAAAUCACAAAUGUAAAUUAAGUAAUAACAAAAUAUUAUAUGAAAGCUUCACUCCACAGGCCACACCACAAAUCCCAUAGUAGUAUAUGUCUAUAUGACUAGGGAACAUAUCAUAUUUGUUAUUAGAAGCAAGUCUAACUUCACUUGGGCCUUAAAUAAAUUUCGUGUUGGGAAUUGAUAUCAUUCAGUAAAAGUCCAAAAGUCUCUCGUCUGCGAAAUGGAAGAGAGUAAUGUCAAGUUUGUUUCUCACAGACUCACCCUAUGAAUUGCCGUGCAGCGUACGGAUCUUCUUAUUUUCUCUCAAUCUCUUCCUGUGACAGGAUUCUUCAUCACUAAUCUGCAACGAAUACUGGUUCACUUCCAUGGCGUCUUCUUCUUCUCGUUCCUGGAGAUACGAUGUUUUCCCGAGUUUCAGCGGUGAAGUUGUCCGCAAAUCAUUCCUCAGCCAUCUUCUGAAGGAGCUUGACCGCAAAUCAAUCAAUGCAUUUAUAGAUGAUGGGAUCGAGAGAAGCCGCCCGAUCGGCCCUGAGCUUUUAUCGGCGAUUAGAGAAUCGAGGAUCUCAAUCGUCGUCUUCUCAAAGAGUUAUGCUUCUUCCACGUGGUACCUGAAUGAAUUGGUGGAUGGAGAUCCACAAGUGCUAUAUGGAGUUUGACCAAAUGGUGAUUCCACAGCGUUGACCCUUCGGAAGUUCGAAAACAUACCGGAGAAUUUGGAAAGGUGUUUAAAGAGACAUGCGACGGCAAAACGGAGGAUCAGAAGCAAAGGUGGAUGCAAGCUCUCGUAGAUGUAGCAAAUAUGGCCGGAGAGGAUCUUCGGAACUGGUAUAAACUAUAAACCUUGUGUUAUCAUUCCAUAGUUCGUGUCGUGCAUUGACUUCGAUUGUGCUUUUAGGGCAGCUCUUUAAUGUCACAAUUUGUUAUUAGGUGUAACGAAGCCAGCAUGAUUGAAAAGAUAGCCGAUGAUGUUUCGAAUAAACUUAUCACAACAUCGGAUUGUUAUGGCGAUUUGGUGGGGAUUGAAGCUCAUUUAGAAGCAAUGAGCUCAAUAUUGUGCUUGGAAUCCGAGGAAGCUAGAAUGGUAGGGAUUUUGGGGCCUUCUGGGAUUGGUAAGAGUACCAUAGGAAGAGCUCUUUUCAGUCAACUCGCUAGCCAAUUCCAACUUUUGUAACUUAUAAAAGAACCAACCAGGAUGACUACGGCAUGAAGUUGUGUUGGGAAGAAAAUUUUUUAUCAGAGAUUCUUGGUCAAAAGGACUUGCAGAUAUACCAAUUAGGUGCGGUGGAGCAACGGUUAAAACUCAAGAAAGUUCUCAUUGUUCUUGACGAUGUUGAUGAUAUAGAGCUCCUAAAAACCUUGGUUGGGCAAACGGAAUGGUUUGGAUCCGGGAGCAGAAUUAUUGUGAUCACUCAAGAUAGGCAACUUCUUAAGGCUCAUGAGAUUGACCUUAUAUAUGAGGUGAAGUUCCCAUCUCAAGAUUCUGCUCUCAAGAUGUUAUGCCAAUCUGCAUUUCGGCAAAACUCUCCACCUAAUGGUUUAAUGGAAUUGACAGUUGAAGCUGCCAAGCUUGCCGGUAACCUUCCUUUGUGUCUCAGUGUCUUGGGUUCGUCUUUAAGAAGAAAGGACAAAAAAGAGUGGGAGGAGAUGCUGCCUAGACUCCAAAAUGGUUUGGACGGGAAGAUUGAGAAAAUAUUAAGAGUCGGCUACGAUAGAUUAGAUGGCAAAGACCAAGAGUUAUUUCUCUUCAUUGCAUUUGCAGGUUUAUUCAAUGGUUUGCAAGUCAGUUACAUCAGAUUAAAUGAUGUCAUUGAUGUGACAAUCAGUGUCAGUGACAUCAAAUGCUUGCUCGGAGAUGGUGUUACCACUGGGCUUACAGUGUUGACUGAUAAGUCCCUCAUACGUAUAACACCGCACGAAACUAUAGAGAUGCACAAUUCGCUACAGAAGUUGGCUAGAGAAAUUGGUCGUGCAGAGUCUAUAAACAAUCCUGGAAAACGACGAUAUCUGGUGGAUGUUGAGGACAUUUGCGAUGUUUUUACGGAUAAAACCGUAAGUUUUCUCGCAUAUGCUUUUAAUGCUCGGCUUUAUAAAAUUUAAGCGUUAUUUGGUGAUUGAUAGAUAAACUUUUACGAUUGUUCCCACCUGCUUUAUUUGAGCGCGGGGCUCAGAUGUCAUAAGGAGAAAAAAAAAAUCUCGCCUGCCAUAAAUCAUUGUGUAUUGACGUUUUUAGCCUUAAUGAACUGAUUAUAAAAUUAAAUAAAAUCGUUUAUUUUUAAAAAUAAAAAUAAAAGCUGCAAAUAAGCUUCUUCUUCCCCGAGUUAGGUUUCCGUACACAUCCGCCGCCGCCGCAGAGAGCUUGAUUCGAACCACCGUCGUUUGCUGGUGCCGGCUCAUUUUUUUUGUUUAACUACUCUUUCUUAUCCUGCCAUUUGUGUGAGAAGACUUCGAAAAGGUAUGGUGGUGUGUAUUUUGGAGAUUUAUAAAUUAGAGUUUUUUUUUGUUUGUUUGGUGGUCGUUUAACUAUGUACAUUGCCUAAGUUUGUUGUUUAUUGGUUAAGUUCUCUUCGAAUCGAUGUUAAUUUGUCGAUUUUUAGUGUUGAAUCUGUUUGGUAGAUGUGAAACGAGGAUGUGAAACCAAAGAUUUUAGCCAAGAAAGUUUGGGAAUUUAGAUAACUGGUACAAAAGGUAUAAGUAAAAGAUACGGGACAAGUAGUACAAAUGGUAGAACUGAUAAUUAUGGGACAACUAGUACAAGUCUCUGUUAAGACUGAUAAUGUGGGACAACUAGUACAAAUGUUAUAGUGAGAAAUUCGGGACAACUAGUAUAAAAGGUAUAACUGUGAAACGUAAUUGGUAAUAUUAUUUUUUAUUUGCUGCGUAUACCAGGAUAUAAUGAGCAUUGGCCACACCAACAUAAAUUUUGAGUAUGGAGGAUAUUAUUCACGGAACAAACGACCAACAGGUGUAACCCAGGAGUUUAGUUCAGGAACAAACGACCAACAGGUGUAACCCACGAAGAACUGGACAACUGUGUUUUUUUCAUCUAAUCAUGUUUUAGGACAUCUAGACAGCUAUGUACGUAUGUUGUCAUUUUCAUUUUUUUCAUAUGUUUAGAUAUCGGGAAAACUGGACAACUAUUACAACUAUGUUGUAUUUGUGAAGUACAAUUGACGUUUCAUAUGUUUGAAAUUGGGACAACUGGACAACUAGUACAAUUAUGUUGUAUUUGUGAGGUACAAUUGACGAAUCAUAUGUUUGAAAUUGGGACAACUGGACAACUAGUACAACUAUGUUGUAUUUGUGAGGUACAAUUGACGAAUCAUAUGUUUGAAAUUGGGACAACUGGACAACUAGUACAACUAUGUUGUAAUCAUAUGUUUGAAAUUGGGACAACUAGACAACUAGUACAACUAUGUUGUAUUUGUGAUGUACAAUUGACGAAUCAUAUGUUUGAAAUUGGGAUAACUGGACAACUAGUACAACUAUGUUGUAUUUGUGAUGUACAAUUGACGAAUCAUAUGUUUGAAAUUGGGACAACUAGUACAACUAUGUUGUAUUUUUGAUGUACAAGUGACGAAUCAUUUGUUGGAAAUUGGGACAACUGGACAACUAGUACAACUAUGUUGGAUUUGUGAUGUACAAUUGACGUUUCAUAUGUAUGAAAUUGGGGUUUAGUACAAACCCUAGACAACUAUGAAAGACAUCUAAAAUGAGGUUUUAAAGAAGCUUCAGAAAAUGGGAUAACAAAUUAUAAGUUUAGAGUCAUAAUAUUGGUUUGACACUAAACACUCCUUAUAAAACAAGAGAGUCUUCACUAAUACUCAUCACAUGAUGAUGGAUAAAUGCAAAUGUUUGGAUUUAAUCAAAACGGAUUAAUCAGGACUUUUUAAUUGUGGUAUGAAACUUCAAACAAAUAUGAACAACUACAAUAUGUGGUAUAUGGUCAUGGGUCAACUGGAAAUAUUUGAAAAAGCUUAAAGUACAACUCUUACAAAUAUUGGACAACAAUACAAGUACGUACAACUAUAUGAUAACCCUUAUCAUAUUAUAUUUGCACGUGAAGCACAUGUGUUUACUAUGGCGGCAAAAUAAUUAAAUAGUUUUUAAAAUCUCUUUUCUUUAAAUUGUUCUUCCUCAUAUUCUACUGAGAACUUCCUCCUUUUUUAGGGUUUCAGCCGCAGAGCAAUUUCACAAGAUUAAGAUAAUGUCGAAGAAGAAAUCUUCCUAAAAAAGACUGCCUUUCCGCCGAAGGAUUACGGCAUGACCACCAGGUGGGGGCCCGAAGUUAAUGGAGUCCGCACCAUUCUUCCAUGUCCCAUACAGAUGGGAAUUCCCAAGGUUUGCCACCACGGAAUUGCUCCAAUUGGCUGUUUAACCAACCAUUCAGCGUUAGAUAGGGGACGUAGGUACUUUGGUUGUUUUUAUGGUUGCCAUAGUUGAAGAGAUUAAAAUGGUAAAAGAAACUCAAGAGGAGAUGAAGUCUUUGUUUGAUGUCAUUAUCUCGAGAAUUGAAGCUCUUGAGGCUGCUGUGACCAAGAAGAGUUGCUCGAAGGAAGUUUGAAGCUCAAGAUCGUUUGUUGAACCUUGUCCUACAUCGUUGUCUUUGUUUCUUGAACCUUGUUGUCCUUUAUUGUCCUACAUCGUUUAACUAUGUUGUCCUUUAUUGAACUACAUUGUUAUCCUUUACUGAACUACUUUGUUGAACCUUGUUGUCCUUUAUUGUACUAAUUUGUUGAACCUUGUUGUCUUUUAUUGUCCUACAUCGUUUAACUUUGUUGUCCUGUAUUGAACUAUUUUGUUGAACCUUGUUGUCCUUUAUUGUCCUACACCGUUUAACCUUGUUGUUCUUUAUUGUCCUAAAUCCCAAAGAAUUGACCAUUAUUGUCCUAAUAUGUCCCAAAUCCAAACAAAUGUCCAAAUUCGAAUAUCAAACAUAAAAUCCACAACAUAAACUAAACAUCCGCAAACAACAUAACCUGUAACUUAAAAGAAAAACAUAACAUCCAGAAAACAAGAUAAACUGCAACAUCCGACACUUCUACUUCGAUAACAUCCAGUCUUCUGCUCUUGUUCUUCACCCUCCUGCUCUUGUUCUUCAGCCUCAUCCUCUUUUUCAUCAGCCUCCUGCUCUUGUUCUUCGGCCUCCUGCUCUUCUUCUUCAGCCUCAUCAUUUCCCUCCUCUUGUUCAUCAGCCUCUUCAUUUCUCGAAUCUUGUUCAUCACCCUCCUCCUUUCCCUCCUCUUCUUCAUCACCCUCCUCCUUUCCCUCCUCUUCUUCUUCACCCUCCUUUCCCUCCUCUUCUUCUUUGCCCUCCUCCUUUCCAUCGUCUGCUUCAUCACCCUCAGCCUCGUCUUCUUCUUCCAUGGGGUUUAUCGUUUCGGUUUCAUCUUCUGUGGGGAUUUUUUGGGCUGCGGUCUCCUCGAUAGGAUUCGGAGAGGUUUCUUUCUCCAUUUCUGUUUCUGAACUACAAACAUCUUCGCUUGUCUUUGUCGCGGCUUCGGUGGGAAUAGGGUUUACAACGGCUUGAGGAAUAUUUCCUUUCUCUUUAUCGGCGGCUUCAGGAUUUACUUCAGAUUCUCUCGCUGCGGCUUGAGAAUGCGAUUCCGUUUUAGGCAACGUUUUCCGACUUUCAGUUGACUCAUACUCGACGCCUUUUUGUUUCACACGAGUCAUGGAGAAGUCGUAACGAACCGAAGAUGGAGAAAUCGAUUAAAACGGAAGUUGUAGAUGGUGGAGUGGAAAUAAAACGAACGCAAUCGGUUAGCUUCUAUCAACACUCGCCGGAUUUUACGCCGGAAAACUCUCUCAAAUCUUUUUUCGAAUUUCAAUUAACUGUGUGGAGGUUUUUUUCCAAGAACUGAUAAAAUGGUAAAGUAAAUUAGGGUAAAUAAAAAGAAAUGCGAGUCGAAUCCGAUUUUAAUUGGGUAGGUUUUCAAAUGCCCAGAUAUUGUUGUAAUUAACGAGACAUUCAUGUAUAAGGUAAUAAACAACCAUCUUUUUGCUAUUUAAAAAAAAUUAAAAAGGAAUUGAUUAUACGAACGAUGGCAUUGGGGCUCUUUCUUCAGCGAUUUAUGGCAUUUUAGCAUUUGAUUCGCUUUAUUUUAACACUGUUACAAUUGUUUUUUUUUUCCUGUUAACUAACAGUUACAAUUGUUAAGAUAAUAGUUUUCGUGUGAUUUUUUUUUUCAGGGCACAGAAGCUGUAGUAGGAAUAUAUUUCGACACAUUAGAAAUCAAAGAGCCAUUUUCAAUAGAUGAAAAAUCGUUCGAAGGCAUGCGUAAUCUCCAAUUUCUAAUAGUUCGAGGGUCUCCACGGGGUAGAUUGCGUCUACCUCAAGACCUCGUUUAUUUACCCCGUAAACUCAUAUUGCUAAAGUGGGAUGGUUAUCCAUCCAAGUGUUUGCCUUGAACUCAGAAUGGAGAAUAGUUUGCUUGAGAAGCUGUGGGAAGGAAUUCAGGUACUAUAGUUUUAAAUUUAUUUCUAAGUUUCAUACGGUGUUACUAUUAGAACAAAUAACGGUCUUAUUUUUCUAUAUAUAUUGUUGUUAAAAGUUUAUAGAAUAUGUGUUCAAAAUGAUUUUGAACCUGUGCAUUUAUUUUUAUUUUCCUGUUUGUUUUCAGCCACUUGGAAGCCUCAAGCAAUUGAUUAUGAAUUGGUCCACAUAUUUGAGAGAACUUCCAGAUCUCUCUAAGGCCAUAAACCUCGAGAAAGUGUAUCUUGAUGGAUGCAAAUCUUUGGUGACAUUUCCUUCCUCGAUUCAGAAUCUCCUGAAACUGAGAGAUUUACAUUUGGAAAAUUGCACAGAGCUAGAAAGUUUUCCAACUCUUGUCAACUUGAAAUCUCUCGAGUACCUCAAUCUCCGAGGAUGCUCCCGGUUGAGAAAUUUCCCUCAGAUUUAUAUGGACAGUUCACAUGGAAUUAGCAUCGAAGUAAAAGACUGUUUCUGGAACAACAAUCUCCCUGGACCCGAUUAUCUCGGUGGCCUUAUGAGAUGUAUGCCUUGUAAAUAUCGACCAGAACAUCUCGUUCGUCUUACAGUGAAAGGCAACAUGCUUGAGAAGCUAUGGGAAGGCGUCCAGGUACAUUGUUAAUGUUUGAAUGUCAUAUGAUUGAAACAUAACAAAAUGUUUGGUUGUUCUGUUUCAGUCGCUUGGAAGUCUCGUGAGGAUGAAUCUGUCAGGAUCUGUAAACCUGAAUGAAUUUCCAGAUCUUUCAAAGGCCACCAAUCUGGAGCGUUUAGAACUCAACUAUUGCCAUAAUUUGGUGACUGUUCCUUGUACAAUUGAGAAUCUCAAGAAAUUGGUAAAGUUGGAAAUGAAAGGAUGCAUAAGGCUGGAGGCUCUUCCAACCGAUGUCAACUUGUCAUCUCUCGAAACCCUCGAUCUCAGUUGGUGCUCAAGUUUGACAAGUUUUCCUCAAAUUUCAUGGAGUGUGAAAAAACUCUAUCUAAAUGACACUGCCAUUGAACAAGUUCCCUGCUGUAUAGAGAAAUUCUGGAGGCUCCUUGAACUAACGAUGUGUCGUUGCAAGAGGUUGAAAAACAUCUCCCCAAACAUUUUCAGUCUGAGCCGUCUUGUGAAGGCAGACUUUUCAGACUGUGAAGGAGUAGAGACGGCAUUGAGUGAUGCAACUCCAGUGGCAACAAUGUCAACGGAGGAUCAAAUUCCUUCUAUACCAUUACACACAAAUGCCUAUAGAAGGGAAUAUUUUGAGUUCAAUAAUUGCUUCAAAUUGGAUAGAAAUGCGCGGGCACUCAUCCUACGAUCAUACGUGGCGCCUACAGUCUUACCAGGUGAAGAAGUGCCUGCGUAUUUCACGGAACAAGCUUCUGGAACUACCGUAGCUGUCAAGUUACCUCAGAGCUUUCUUUCUCAAGAACACCUCGCAAUUAAGGCUUGCGUCGUGGUCGGCAAGGGUUCGCAUUCAUACUUAGGGUUACGCUGGCACUUCAGAGGCGAAGAGCAUUGGGACACAAUAUUUGAAAAUCUGCCGGGGUCUUUUAAGAGGGAUCAUCUGGUUUUGCUUUCCUUCAAGUUCCGGCCUUCACUUCGUUUGGGUUUGAGUGACUUGAGUCCAACUAAUUUUCACUUCGACGAUGUUGAGUUUGAGUCUUCCACCAUCAACCCAUCCUCUGGCACCUUCUCACCGUCGGUCCAGAGGAUAACAGGAUGUGGUAUAAGAUUCUUGAAUCGGUCUACUACACGUCGUCGUCUAUCUAAAUUGGACUACUACUACAACGAUGUUGUCUCUGAGUUCUUCUUCAACCGAACAUUAAGAGAGGAUGCUGAGUACUUCUCUGGAAGAUGAAUCUGAUGAUGGAAGCUCUGGAACAGAGUACAACCAAAAAUCUAUACAAAGUUGUUAUCAAGAAAACAAUCUGUACAAAAUGUGAUGUUGUAGGGAUUGUGAGAAGAAAGAACGGAUGCGGGUAAAGCUUUUUGAACUCAAAAUUAUAAGGGUAUCUCUUGAUCUUUUUUUUCAGGAUCAAUAUCAUAGGUCCAUAGGGAUGAACUAUUUAAUAGACUAGAUCGUUUGGUUUUAUUAUGUAGAUUACAUUAAAAGAAUACAUGUGGGAUGUGGCGAUAAAGUAGCGGACACAGGUAUUGACGCCUCCAAAUAUAGAAUUUCUUCUACAAGUAAGAUACCGUUAGUUUCUUCUAGCAACUUUCAUGUCCAUGGAGCAUCCCUGUAUCUAUCCCUUUCUCCUUCUAUUCCAUGUCUGGAGGGGCAAGUUUUGUCUGUUGAUCCCCGAGAUAACUGAACAACUAGAUAUAUACAGAAACACUCACCGUGGAUCCUUUGUCGCACCCAGAGCUUACCAACUUUUUUUUACGGUAAGUGAAACAUCUUACAGUUCUGUUUUGUUCUAUAACAUCUUGCGAAUUGCGAUCGACCGUGGCUAUGCUGAUCUUGCCAAGACGUUUUCGUAGUUUUUUACGCAAUCCAUUUUUCCCUGCAGGUGAUGGUGAACUUCUCGAGAACCAGAACCUGUUUACGCACUCUAUUCUUACUUCUUUGUGUUACUGUUUCCCUCUUUGAGAAUUUCGCUUUUCAUGAAAGAAUAAACAUCUUUCAAAUAGCCACAAUUCAGCACAUUCUGGAAAAUUUUCUUUAGCAGGUUUUGUUUUGUACCAUAAAUCUAUCGGUUUUUAGUUGGAAAUUCGUUGAAUUUGUGAGCUUGGGUUUUACAUACUUGACUCGGGUAGUUUUUCUUUCCUUCUAACAAAGCAAUGAAUAAAUCAGGAUUUGGCCAAACUAAAAAUGUAUAAAAAAAAAUUCACUAGUUCUAAAUGGCAAGACCCUCUUCAUCAUCAGCAACAUUUGGAUCGCUGUUUCCAUGACGUUUCCUACACUCGCAGUAAAAAACAGUGACUACAACAUAACUCAGCACCACCUCAGCACCAUACAUACAAAUCAACUUCCACCCGUCUAAGCCACCGCUCACCACCACCGACCUCCACCACGACCCUGAGCUCGAGUCUACAUCUAGCUCCUUGGCCAGCUUCUCCAUCCCAUGACCAAUGAAACUCGAAAGAAACACAAAUACACCCGCCAAAGCCAAUCCAGUUAUCCUCCUCCCUUUCAUCAGAGAAUUUCCUUCCUUAAUCGCAUCAAAACCGUAUCUUUCUUCUAUCACAGAGACGACAAGGCCAAGCCCUGUUAUAGCCAUUAUGUAUACCUCAACGCCGAGACUGAGAACCGUGAUGAGGUAACGCAAUGUGGGUGUAUAACCCAAGAGAGCUGAUAGAAACAUGGGAAUCGGAGAGUAGAGGAAGAGCAGACCAUAGACAACAAUGGAAGUUGCAGUUACUCGCAUCCACGAGGACUUCACUGAUGCAAACGAUGACUUCAGAGACGUGUUUAGGCCGUUGUGUGAGAAGGAAGUUGAUGUGAUGACGGUUAUGGAUGCGAUACAGGAGAGGAUGAAGGACGGGACGAAAUAUCUGGAUUUGAGGUGUAGAAGCGAGACAGCGUCUUCUCUAGACUCUUGCCAGAUCUGUCUAGCUUCGAACCUUGUGUGCACGACGUUGGCCAGGGCUUCUAGACGGAAGACAUGGUUUUUAAGACGAAAGGAGGAGAGAGUUAGGGAGAGGUGUAAGGCUGCGAGAGGGAUUGCUACAAAGGCAAAGACUGGGAAUAAUAUGUGUUUGUUUCUCAAGAGAAUCAUGAAGGAGUCUAGGAGUGUUGUGGUGAUCCGCGUGGAAGAACCAGGUCGCUUUACUUCAAUCAUGAUAUCAAAAGGCACAUAGAAGCCUGCUGCUUAAAGCUUCAACCAAUGUUGGGACAACUCGAAACAGAGUAGAUACACUAUGCUUCUAGAGAAUGUCUUGUAUGAGGCCUGUGUAAACAAGAAAGCACAAAGCUUUUAGCAACUCAGAGAAUCAAUACAAGACUAAGUGCAUUGCAAAACCACAGUUUUCUCAGCAAAAAGAAUCACACUUAUCAGGUGGAAAUCACAGUUCCAUAUGAAAGAAUGACACUUUUAGCGAUUAUUCUAAUGACACUUAAACAAGGUUUGGUUCAAACAACAACUCCAGAGAUCAUACAUAGUUGACCGAAAUGUUAAGACUUUUUCUACACACCCCGGAGUUUUCGGAGUUCCAACAAGUUCGAGUUCAUUGAAGAAUAUAAACCAUAAUAUGAGUACGAAUUGAUGCUAUGUCGUCAAAUUAGAUCAAAUUCUGUGAUCUUGUGGACCAAACGUGUAUGAAGAAAUCAAACAAUCGACCGAGAUCAACUAGAAAUAACGAAUCCAGAACUAGAUUCUAUUUCCCAAACAACAGUCUCUAGAAAAAGGGUGAAUUUCGAUUCCCGAUCUAAAACUUGACGACUAAAUCCCAACUUUUAACAUUAGAACGGAAACAAUUAGGUUUAAUCCAAUCUUUUUUGCUUGAUUACGGUCUAUCUGAGAUCGAGACAAACCUGAAAGAUGCGAAAACACCGAUUGGUGUAAGAGGAAAUCCGAAGAAGUAUUGCUUGGAAGGAGAAUUCAUUGAUUUGAGAGACAGAACAAGUCAAUAAGCUUUGGGUUUUAAAGUUUAACCACUGUUUUAUAACUCAGUAAUUCUGUCCUUUGCGAAAAAAAAAGAAAAAAAAAACUCAGUAAUUCUGUCCUGAUUUGGGACAAUUUUGGAUGCCAAUUGCUUUUAUAAUGUUUUCGACCAAUAGAGUUACUUUACUAUUGGAUUACUAAUUAAUCAUUACUUAAUAAUGUUUUUUUGGUUAAUUGAGUUGUGAUGUUGAAUUAGUUAUUUAUCCACUAGAAAUUUCACAUUUUUUUAGUUUUUUUUAAUCAAAGACUCUAGAGUGAGGUAUCAAACAACAUUUUAUUGUAAAAUAUCAAAAUAGACAACUUUUUCAGACAAUCCUCUAUGAGGCUAUGAUUAUGAAUGUGUGUGACUGCGUGUAAUGAAAAAAAAAAACAAAAUACAGUAUACGAGGUAUAAAAAGAAAGAAUUGUCUCGACAACACAACAAAGAGUUUGCUUGCGGCACCAAAUCAUUGGAGUCUUCUUGGUAGUGAAAAGUUGUUUCCUUUCCCCAAAACUGAUUCAACCCGCAAAUGUGUUCCCUUCUCAUUGGAGCCAACAUUUUGCUUCUUGAACUCAGCUUCUUAACGCUGCUGACAAAUUCCAAAUCCAUCUCCGGUUUAGUAUUGUGACUAUUACUUGAGCAAAUCGAAACCGCAAUUGAACACAAGAUUCUAACAUUGCAGAGACAACUCAAUGCUCAUAUCCAGCAAGGUCUUUGGUAAUUCCUAAGUUUCACAAACCAAUGGAUUCAUAGACUGAGAGUCAAUUUCUGCAUCUAUAGAUGAAAUCGAAAACCAUCAAAAAAAUCAACCAAGAUGGUUUUUUCCAAUUUCCUCGGUUUACCUGAAUGAGAGAAGAGCCAGAGGAUUACGCCGCAGAGAAGAAGAAUGAGAGGAAUGAAAUGGAUGACGUUUUCUGCAGAUCUGAAUCGGGACUUCUCUCUCUUCCCCGGUUGAGAAUUCGGGUCGUACCUUGGCAAAAGCAGCUCCACAUCAUCUUCCAUAGCUGUAACGCUCUGAGAUCGAGGCGGAGACAGUGACGGCGUUGAAAGAUUCGCCGGAAACUGAUCCGAAACUCUUGAGCCACUUGCUGAUCUACGCAUCUCUCUCUCCCUAACGUAACUUCUCAAGUCAAAGGUCGAAACUUUUUUCACACAAUAACGCAUAUAAAUACUGUCGUCACGUCAGAUUUGACCAAUAGAGAAGAGUCAAAGCUCUUCUCUUUUUCACCAGUAAUCGCCACAAGAACAAGACCCAUCUUUGAAAUGGUGAAACCUUGUGGUGUCUCUCACCAUGAUCUCUCGUCUCUCUAUCUCCGAGAUAAAUUUGAUUGCUUUAUGGCAAUCACCACAGAUUCUCAGGUUCUUGAAAACUUGUAUCCGUGAACCUUCAGGGAGUUUUAAGCACCCAAAAGCAACAGCUAACUUCUCGCUAUGCCAUAACAAUAGUUUCUUUUUCUGCUCUUCCUCUACAUCGUGUAAAUCAAACUCCAGCUCUGGUAUGUAUCCAGCCAGCUCCAUCUUUUUCUCCAACUCCUUCAGUUUCUUGUGUAUUGACUCUAAUUCCGGGUGGAUCCGAUCACUUGAUCUGAAAUGGUGAACCUUGUUUCGAAUCUCGAUCCAACUGUAUCCUGGUACCUGAAACAAUCGAUUGAACACAUAAAAAGUCUUGUAAAGCGAAUAAAUAAUCACACCUUUUGCAAUCACCAUACCUUCACAACAUUGCUCUGCUUCAUUCUCUUACGAACCCUUGCAACGUCCUCCCAACGACUCAUCGAUGCGUAGAUAUUCGCGAGCUGCACAUACCCAGCUGCAUUACUCGGGUCAAGCUCAAGCAGCUUCUCGGCUGCGAAUUCAGCCAAUUCCACAUUCUUAUGCACCCUACAAGCCCCUAAGAGCGUCCCAAAGACUGCAGCGUGUGGUCUAAACGGCAUCGAUCGUAUCAGUUUCAACGCCUCGUCCAGCUUCCCAGCCCGACUCAGAAGAUCAACCAUACACGUGUAGUGAUCAGGCCGCGGUUCUACCCUGUAAUCUCUCACCAUCGACUCGAAAUGCUGCAUCCCAGUAUCCACUAAUCCAGAAUGGUUGCAAGCUAGCAAAACCGCUACAAACGUUAUCCAAUCCGGUCUGAUAUUGUCAUCUCUCAUCUCACUGAACAAACGCAGAGCCUUUUCUGCUCUACCAUGCUGUGCAUACCCGCAUAUCAUCGCGUUCCACGCGACGACAUCUUUCUUCCUCAUACCCUGAAAGAGCUUCCAGGCAUCACCAAGUUCACCACAUUUGCAGUACAUACUGAUCAGCGACGUCAAUGCGGUUAUCUCACUACACAAUAUAGAUUUACACACUAUCUGAUGGAUCUGCCUCCCUAACCGUAACGCAGAUAACUCGCUGCAUCCAAGCAAUACGCUGCUUAGACCUGACGGGUUAGGCCUAAUUCCAUCAAAAAGCAUUACUUUGAAAAGCUUCAAUCCAUCUCCUGGCCGAGAAUUUUCGACAUAACCAGAGAUCAUAGCAUUCCAUGUAACGAGAUUUUUCUUCACAGUCAUGUCUUUGAACACUGCCUCAGCUAAUUCAACCUUCUUGGCUUUCAUGUACCCUGUGAUCAUCGCCGUCCAGGCCACCACUCCUCUAACAGGAGCCGCUUUGAAGAAACGUGAUGCCAUUUCCAAAUCUCCGCAUUCUACGUAACCAGAGAUCAUCGCGUUCCAAGAAACCUCGUUCUUCUCCGUCAUGGCGUAGAACAAUUCCCGCGCUUUUUCCAUUUCCCUUCUCCGUGCAUACCCUGUGAUCAUCGUGUUCCACGACGCCGCGUCCUUGAAUGGAGCCCGAUCGAAAAAGCUCUGAGCUUUCUCGAAGUCUCCGUUACGAACGUAGCAAGACAACAUGAUGUUGUAGGAGAAAGUAUCUGGUUCAGGGAUUUCGUCGAACAGUUGGUGUGCUUCCUUCAAUCUGCUUGGAUCUUUUGAAAUCCCAACGAGCAGGGUGUUCCAGGUGACUGUGUUCUUAGCUCUCAUCCCGUGAAACACUCGGAGAGCUUCGUCUAUAUCUCCGGAACGUACAAAUCUGGCUAUAAUCUUGUUCAACGGGAAGAUUCGGUCUUGGUCACAAGGUUUAGUCGUCGUUUGAAGCGUCAAGUUAUCGGAGCGAACCAGAGAUGGCUCUGGCGAUGAACAAGAGGAAGACAAACAUGAUCCCACCAAAAUGGCAUCUGGGUUUUCUACGGAGCGCAAAAAGAAUCGAAAUUUCCAGCGUUUGAACGUCCGGUGAAUGUUGAACCGAGAAAGCAUUUUUCAUGGUUUAUGACAGAACAAGGAUGAAAAUGUUUAUAAAUCAUACCAAACAAAAAAAACCUAAAUUUGGAAUUUAACACCUAACAAUUGGGAGAAUCUGAGACAGAACUGAGUUCACUCUCAUUGUAAUAAACUGUUGAAUCAUCUUAUUGUUGAGUUAUUUCUAAUAAGAGACUUAUGUUUUAGAUUAAGUCAAUUGUUGUUUGCUAUUUUCUCGUUAGUGGUGGAACUAGUUGAACUAGUUGAGUCAUGUCCUUGUUUUACGGUUGUUUCAGUUAUUGUACUUUCUUUAUAAGGCAUUAAGGCCGAUGGAAUAAGAUCAGAUCAUUCUGAUGCAAUUUGUGAAUCCUUGAAACCAACUUUACAAUUGGUAUCAGAGCAAAAACACAAACGAGUGAUCAAAGAGAGAGCAAAAAAAAGGAGAGAGAGAAGAUGAGCGACGAUAAAACUCUUACCAAAAUUCCUUCAUUCAAUGGUCAUUACAAUCAUUGGAGUGAACUGAUGGAAAAUCUUUUGCGUGCCAAAGGAUUAUGGAAUCUGGUGGAAGAGGGAUUCACAAAACCGUCGGAGGGAGCCGAGAUGACCGCAGCGCAGCGGAAACAAAUCGAGGAACUCAAGGUGAAAGACCAUCAAGUGAAGCACUACCUGUUUCAAGCCAUUGAUCGGGUGGUAUUUCAACAGAUCUUAGAUCGCAGAACAUCCAAGAUCAUCUGGGAGUCAAUGAAGAAAAAGUUCGGAGGCAAUGAACGAGUGAAGAGAUCUCUCCUCCAAACCUUAAGAAGAGACUUUGAGAUUCUUGCAAUGAAGGCUGAUGAAAGCGUGGACGAUUACUUUGGCAGAGUAAUGUCCGUCUCGAACAAAAUGAGAAGUAAUGGAGAGGAUAUGCCAGAUUCGAAGAUUGUGGAGAAGAUACUUCGAACGCUCACUGACAAAUUCACAUACGUGGUGGUGUCAAUUGAGGAGUCCAAAGACACAAGCAGCAUCACCAUCGACAAACUGCAGAGCUCUUUGUCAGUCCAUGAGAAAAAGUUCAAAAGGACCAGCUAUGAGGAAGAUGAUCAAGCUUUCAAUGUCAAAGGCAGAGGAAGGGGAUCCUCCAGGGGUCGAGGCAGAGGGAGAGGUCGCUCCUUCAACAAAGCAUUGAUUGAAUGUUACAAGGGCCACAACCUUGGGCACUUUCAGUAUGAAUGUCCGCAGACAAACAAUGGUGCAAAUUACGCUGAGAUUGAAGAAGAAGAUGAAGUAUUACUGAUGGCGUUUGUUGAACUUCAAGGCACAAGAAGAGAAGAUGCUUGGUUUGUUGACUCUGGAUGCUCAAACCAUAUGUGCGGAGAAAAGGGUAUGUUCUCAAGUCUGGACACUGAUUUUACGCGUAACGUCAAGCUGGGCAACAAUCACAAGCUGAUGGUUGGUGGGAAAGGAGUAGUGAAGAUAACACUUAAAGGCAUCAGCUAUGUGGUUAACGACGUGUAUUAUGUCCCUGAAUUGAAGAAUAAUCUGUUGAGUGUUGGGCAGCUUCAAGAGAAGAGUCUGGAUGUGCUAUUCAAGGGAGGAGAACACAAAACCUGCAGCAUAUUUCAUCCAACAAGGGGAAAGAUAGCUGAGUCUGUCAUGAGUGCUAAUCGGAUGUUCAUUCUGCUGGGAGAAACAAGUGAGAAAAUGAAGGAAGAAAGAUGCCUGCAAGUUAACAUCUCAGACAAAGCUGAACUGUGGCACCAUCGAUAUGGGCAUCUCAGCCACAAAGGACUUCAUACCCUUCACAGCAAAGAGAUGGUUGUGGGUCUACCUGAACUUGCAGAGAUGAAGACCAUUUGUGAAGCCUGUGUCAAAGGGAAGAAGCAUCGUGUACCAUUUCCUAAGCAAAGCAAGUGGAGAGCAACUGAGAAAUUACAGCUUGUCCACUCAGACCUCUGUGGUCCGAUCAUCCCUCCAUCAAACAGUCAUAAGAGGUACCUGAUAAGCUUCAUUGAUGAUUUUUCCAGAAAAACUUGGAUAUACUUUGUGCAAGAGAAGUCCGAAGCAUUUCAAAUGUUCAAGAUAUUCAAAGCACUCGUGGAGAAGCAAACAAGGUUGUUUAUCAAGUGUUUAAGGACAGACAGAGGUGGAGAAUAUAAUUCCAGCGAGUUCAAAGAAUUCUGUAAGGAGAAUGGGAUCAGAAGGCAGCUAACCACAGCUUACACUCCCCAGCAAAAUGGGGUUGCAGAGCGCAAAAACCGAACCAUUAUGAAUAUGGUGAGAGCAGUCUUGAUGGAAAAGGAGGUGCCUAAAUCUUUCUGGCCGGAUGCUGUGCAGUGGGUAAACCAUGUUUUGAACAGGUCUCCCACCUUGAUUGUUAAAGAUGUGACUCCUGAAGAGGCAUGGAGCGGAAGAAAGCCUUCGGUCGAGCACUUCAGAAUCUUCGGAUGCAUCGGGUAUGUUCAUAUCUCCGAUGUAAAAAGGACCAAACUUGAUGAUAAAAGCGCAAAGUGUGUCUUGCUAGGCUUCAGCAGCGAAUCCAAAGCAUACAAGAUGUAUGAUCCAGUGGAGAAAAAGGUUCACAUUAGCCGAGAUGUGCUAUUUCAAGAAGACAAGGGCUGGAAUUGGGAUGUUGCUUAUUCGGGUGAACAGAACAUGGAGCUUGCGUGGGAUGAUCAGUACGAGUGCAGUGAAAAUCAAGAAAUAGAAGAAGAAGAAGCAGAGGUAGCUGAAGAUGAAGCAGAAGAAAGAACUAAUGUUCCUGUGCCAAACAAUCUAACUGCAGACACAUCAACGUCUGCAGGCAGAACAAGGAGACCACCUGUUUGGGCUGCCGACUUUACCUCAGGAGAGGAGCUGUCAGAUAUGGAGGAAGAAGCAAAUAUGGUCAGGGUUGAUAGUCUCGACAGCACAAUCUGACAUUUAUGGCAUUGAUAGUCAGAGGUAGCUGAAGAUGAAGCAGAAGAAAAAACUGAUGUUCUUGUGCCAAACAAUCUAACUGCAGACACAUCAACGUCUGCAGGCAGAACAAGGAGACCACCUGUCUGGGCUGCCGACUUUACCUCAGGAGAGGAGCUGCCGACUUUACCUCAGGAGAGGAGCUAUCAGAUAUAGAAGAAGAAGCAAAUAUGGUCAGGGUUGAUAGUCUCGACAGCACAAAUCUGGCAUUUAUGGCCAUCUCAGAUCCUACGAGCUUUGGAGAAGCAAGUUAUAAAAUGAUUACUUUUAUAACAUCUCAGAAUACGAACAGAAACGAGAAAGGAAGUGAAACUCACUGAAGACUCGAAACCGAUGAUAACAUUAGAAUUGUCUGUCUGAAACAAGUAUCAUAAAUAAGAAAACAACAAACGACUAAAGACUAAAUGGUAGGUAAACAAAGGAAAAAAAGAGUGUAUUGUUGUUUCAAAAGUAAAAAAAAAAACCGGUCAGGCAUAAGCUUGCAUAAAAUCUAAGAAACUGACGACAACUAAAAAUUUACACCUGACAACAAAAGACCGGUAAACAGUAAAUCAUUCAGACUCGAUUUCAGCAGCGGAGGAAAACUGGAACGAGUUUCGAUGUUUUCAUUGGAUGGAUCUUACUUGCCCCCAAGAGAUGGGAACUGAGCAGUAUCUCCAAUGACAGGCGCAGCUUCACUACGGUGGCCACCAAAUCCGCCGCUAGAAGCACCUCCACGGCCACGACCACGACCACCACGUUCACGGCCACCACGACCUCCUCCUCGGUAGUAGUUCUCACCCUCAGCUGGCUUCAGAAACUCAUUGAUGCUCACAGCCUGCAAAUCAGAAACACACAUUCAUAAGCAAAAAAGCUUAUUGACUUCUACAAAAUAUUUUUGAUUCAGAAAACGAUUUGAACCUUUUUGGCCUUCUCUUCUUUGUCAUCUUUGCGUUUGUCCUUGUCAGAACCCUGUGAAAUAGAUCAAAGCAAGGGUCAGAAUCGUCUAAGCAAGUAGAUUCUAUACACGAUAUUGUCUUACCAACUUGAUGAAGAUUUCAUCGUUAGACUUCUUGUUUGAGAGUUGUUGCAUUGAUUCAAACACUUUAGUAUCAACUUUCCUCUCGGAGGUGGUCUGAGAUUGAAGGGCCUUUUUCUUCUCCUCAAGGAUUUUCUCAUACUCAUCCAGAGUCAUUUCCUAAUUCGAAACACAAGCCAAAACACAAUCAAUGUGAAUAACAAGUAAAUACUGGUGAAAGGGCCUAAUAACUACAACACUGAUUUCAAGUUCCAUCAUCUAUUCUCGGCUUACCUUGUUCUCAGGCUCUUUCUCCUCCUCAGCUUCAGCAGUGUUCUCCUUGUUAGCAUCAGCAGCUACAUCAUCACCAGCAGGCUUCUCCACAGCAUUCUUUUCAGUCUCAGCACCAGCUACUUCCUCAGUCUCACUAAAAGAGACAAGAGAAUCUUCUUUUAGUCCAAAUUCCAAAUUCUUAUCACAUAAACCAACACAAAUGUUUUUACAAAAUGCAAUCAAUCCCAAAAACAAAUGCUUACCCAGCAAAGACUUCUUCUCCUGGUGUUCCCCAAUUUCCACGACCAGAUCCUUCACGUUUGAAGUCACCCCUAACCAAAAGAUAAACUUAAGCUCAUGAGAAUUUCAAUUGCAGAACAUGCCACAACAACAAUAAAAGUUGAGCGAGAGUAAGACUAACCCCCUGCCAGUUCCACUGCGACGCUCGUGCGUCCUUCGAGGACGUUCGCCUUCACCAUCUUCACGUCGACCACCACGGAAAGAACCACGAGGAGCACCUCCACCACCACCACGCCUCUCAUAAGAAGACUUUGACACGUCUCCUUCCUCUGAGGGCUUACUGUAUCCCCCUGAGUAUCCAUUGUUACCUCCGGGACCAUCACCACGUCCAAAAUCACGGUUGUAACCACCAGGACCUCCACGACCACGGCUAAACCCUCCGCUGCCUCUACCACCACCACGUGGAGCUUCACUCCUAGCCUCUUUCACUAAUUAACAACAUUAAGGUACCAACCUCAAUCAACUAAAACAACGAUACAAAACUCCAAAAAUAAAUUCAAUGAAUCAAUCUAGAGAAUCUAAUAUAACAACACAUACAGUCUACUAAAUAAGGAAAUCGAAUAGAUGAGAAGUUUUAUAGUUUGCUAAUCGUGUUUAAGAGAAUCUCACCAGCUUGAGCAGGAGGAAGUGGCUUCGACGGAAGCUUCCCAGCAGCUGAAAUGGGACCAGACUUCUUGGACUUAUCAGUUUUCUCCGGUGGAGCGAUGGAGACGGCGAGCUGGCUUGGAUCCUCAGCGUCGUUACCCAACAGAUCAAAAGGGUUCAAAGUUGCCAUAUCUUAAAAUCAAUCGAAGUGAUUAAAACACACAAACUUUUUUCCUCCCCAAAAGUAUCACACAGAGUCACAGAGACAACUAACAGUAGUAAUAAAGUGAAGCCAUGGAUUAAUAGAUCUAAAGAGUAGAAAAGAAACGUCGGAAUGAAAGAGACGAAAUGGGAAUUAGGACAGGAACUAAUUUGAGUUUGGUAAGAGAAAUGAAAAGAAAGAAAAUGUGGCAAUUUUUGGAGUGGCCGAAAAGCGGCGUAGACAAACCUAAUCGCUUAAAACACCCAGCUUUUCUCACUGAUUGAGUGUGGUCGACCGCAUGGUAAGAUUGAAAUGACCGGCAAGAUCUAACCGUACGAUGCAGCGAUCCUGAAAUCGACAAGAAAACAAUACAUAACUCAACAAGUCAUUAUUUGAGCAAACAUGUUAUUCUUCCAUGGGCCAUUUUUAGUAUUGUUUGAUCAUAUAGGCCCACGAAAAAUUGAUACUUUUUAUUUUAUUAUAUUUUUGCAUUAUCAAAUGAUCUUUAUACGAUCUUGAUAUGUCUAGGACUCUCAAAUCAAUGUCGACAAAAAAAGAUAUGUCUAGGGCUCUAGAGUCUACAAAAGUUUUUGUGAUUUGAAUAACUUCUUAUCUUCUUAUCUAACAUAUACACAACAAACAAAAAAUAUUGUGAUAUUCAAAGAAGUCUUAUGUUUGUAAAUUAGUAAUACUACGAUCGUUUACCUUCUUGGCUUCCAUGCAACGCCAAAUUUCUAUUUAUAACAAAUGUCAAAAGACUCCAAAAUAUUACACAGUAACACAACUUCUAUCAUUUGCAUUUAACAUGCCAAUGGCGAUAAAUAAAAAGCUUUUAUUCCAAAUAGGAACAAACAAAAUAGUCGGCAAACUAAUAAUAACAAUUAGGCUUGUCGGCAAAAAAAAAUACAUUUUUUCAAAAGUGCAUAAAGAAAAAGAAAAUUAGAGCUCUGUCAUGACGACGGACUAGGCAAAACAUCUCCGUUAUCAGGAACAGUAGUAAUACGGCUAAGUCUCAAAGACUUUCCAGUGUACAAAGCCUUGACGUUUGACCGUUGCUCAUCCAAAAGCUUCCUCAAACUACGUUUCGCGUUUGCCCUAAACGGACAGUUCGACGCUAAAAAACCGUCGACCAAAUGCAAAUACGCCUCCAAGUCAUGACAGCACGCCACGUCAGCAUUCGGUUUCAAGUACGGAGACAUCUUCAUAUCUACGCGCAGCUCCGCUCCCACGUGCGAGUAAGCCCAUGGAUUGUUCUUCUCCACCAUCUCCAUUAUUAUACCCCCUUGACUUCUCCCGUUAUUACGAUUCUGCCCUUGCUUAUCGUUAUCGGAGAAUAUCCCGGGGACUUUCGUCACCACGUCCUGGCUGUUCACUACGCGGAGGACUUUCACUCCCUUCGAAUCCAACCGAUCGGCGAACUCCCGGUUUCCGACUCGAGGCCCGCCGAAUGAAAACACCGACACCGGAGGCGCGUGUGGAACACGCUCGGCUAUGUCGUCGGCGGCGAGGAGCGCAAUGGCGGCGCCGAGGCUAUGUCCGGUGACGCUGAUGCUCAGCUCCUCUCCGGCGUAUAGAUCGACGAGCCGGCUGAUUUCUCCGAUUAAUGACUCGGCGAGGCUCGGCGCUUGGUGGCUACCCGUCGUGUAGAGGCUGUUGAAUCCGCAUUCCACUUUGGGCCGGGUCGGGUCAGAUGGAUCGGGUUUGGGUUCGGGCAUGGAGACGAGAUUCGGCCUGAAAUUUUCUGACCACUCGAGCAACGUGGCGGUUCCACGGAGCGCGAUGACGAUCUCCCUCCUCCCCAUCCGUCGGAUCUCACUCGGAUCAUCGCAGACCGCCACGUACCCAACCCAGCUCGUCUGCUUAGUCAUCCACCGUAGAUCUGGUGCCACCUCAUCAAUCCACUUAGGCAAACGAACGGAUGACGUGGCGUAAAGACUUUUUGUCACUUUAUAAGACCCGUCAGGUAACGCCACGUGUCUCGGCGAACCUUCCGGGUCAGAGUGAAACGCUUGGUAAGCCGCCUGCACGAACUCUCCGUACCGGACAAGCUCUCGCCGGAGAUUCUCGUCUAGCGGAUCCAGUAACCCGGCCCAGUUAUUCGACCCGUGUAGUUCCCGCCAUUUAGACCCGAGUUUAUUCUUCGGCGAACGCUCCUCCGAUGACUUGGAGAGAAGCCUUUGGAGACGCUUGAGAUUCUUCGGCGACAUUUCGUCGACGGCUGCUUUCAUCUGAGGCCAGAUUCGCGCCAAAUUCAAACCUUUGAGUAAUGUCGACGUCGACGUCUUCGUUUUAUCUUGACGAGAAGAGACACUGUCGAGAUUAUCUGUAAAGGUCGAUGAGGUCUUGAGAACAUUCUCAAGGUUCAUGAGAUGUUCUCUGUUGGUUUUUCUCGCCGGAAAAACCGAAAGUGUCUUCGUCGGGAUCAAAGUCGAUGUUUGUGUGCUGCAAGUGAAACGACGGCGUUUUGCAUGGAAUAAGUCGGUGUUCGGCGUAAGUGUCUGCAUGAGAAAACUGUGGAGAGAGGUCUUGGCUCAAGUUUUGAUGAGACAAGAACAGAGAUGCUUAAGAAAGUAAAAGGUCUGGUAUUUAUAUGGAAACAUGUCGAUGGUGGCUGUGACGUCAUUUGAAUUAGGAUUGAGCCUUGAAUAUUGAAUGUUAUUACCAUUUUGACCCUCUGUUUUGACUUGACUUUGUUUUUAUUUGAUUUGUUUAUUUCCUUUCUGAUUGUAAGGAAUAUUGAAAUUCUUAUUUAGGACCGUAUUGGCUGGCCAUUGUUUAUAUUUUGGACCGUUUCCAUUAUAAGUCUCCGUGUGUUUUCAAGAAAAGUCCUGCUAUUUUUUCUUUGCACAUGCAAUCAAGCUACCAAAGGGCCGGGUACUUCGAUGGCAGUACGUAUUGUGUAUUCAAUAAUGUAAUUUUAACUAUUAAAAAAAAACCUCAAACUAAUUUCAGGAUAUACAAUUACGGUUUGAAUUGUUAUUAGUUACUUGUGGAUACUGUUGUUUUGCCGUUUUGAUGGACGAGUCUGACUUAAAAGUAGUUACUAGAUACGUGAAAUAGAUAGACAGUAGAAACAUGUUUUGGUCUAUUGUGCCGUCUUCCUAGUUACUAUGAUCGUUGGAUAUAUUGUUCUAUAAAAGGUACAGUCCGAAUAGUAUAGAAAGGAACCCUCUUUUCUUGAUAUAAGAGAUGGCAAAACUCAAUUGGUUUUAUGCUGUGUGCUUAAAGUUAACGCAGUAUAUUCUGACACGCCACUUCUAAAUAUCAAUUUCGAAGACCGGUUUCCGAAUUUUAAGAUUUUUAAGUUUGAUUUGCUAUGAUUUUUAGGUCACUCUCCAAUUAUAUGUAAUAAAAGAAUGUGUGUUUUAAAAACUGAUGAAUUUAAAGAUUGUGAAAAAAAUAUUAAAUUCAACCAAAUCCACCUAAUAUAUAUCCUCUUGUAUAGAUUGUUUAUGAAUCGGUUAUAACUUAAUAAUAAAGAAUGCCUCAGAUUUUUGGUCUACCAUAACAUUCUAACAACUAAUAAUAUAACAGAUUAAAACAAUUGUAAACCAAACAAUAAAUACACCGCGUAAAGCAAAUAGCGUAGGAUGUAAAGUAUAUAUAAAUUUUGACGAAAUAAAAGGACUAUAAGUUCUGAGUUGGUCAAUCUCAAUUCAGUUUAUAAUUUAUUUCUUUACCAUCGGUUAUUGUCGGUAUGUACGAACUAUAGGUGUGUGCAUUUGAAAAACAACAAGUUUAUGUGUGAAAGUGAUAAAGUUAGUGCAGUACCGUUAGAUAACCUUGUACCAACUUACCUUGCGGUCAUGGUUUUAAGAUUAUUGCAUUUCAAACAAUUAUAGUUAUUUACGUUCCCCGUUUGGAGACGGGAUCAAAAAGUUAUAUAUAUACAUAAAAAAAUCUUUAACAAAAUUAUAUUACUUAUGAUAGAGUUUCCAUUUUCCAUAUGAAUUGUUUUUAACUUUGCAAAUACUGCUUUACAAAAUAAAAUUUAAUUUGCAAGGACUUUGAAGUAUGAUCAAUCAUCGAUGUACUUUAUCUUGUCAAAUGCCUGAUAAAAAAAAACAAUAGAUUGCAAGACCACAUGACAGUACCUAUUACAAACGAUGAGUGAUGAACAGAAAUGGAUCAAGCUCAAUCGAUCAUGGAGAAGAUGAGCUCGAGAGAGAAAGAUGAGAAGAAGAUAUUUUGGGAAAAUUUCUGUUAUUUCAUUAAAGGAAAUGUACAAGAGUUAUAUACAAUUGUUGUGUGAUACCCGGGACAAACCGGUUAACUAUUUACAGAUAGUAUUUACAAUAACCAACUAAACCAAGGCCUAAUAUCCCCUCUCAAGAUGGCGCAUAUAUGUUAAUCACAGACAUCUUGCUUAGUAGAGACUCGAACUGAGUUGGAAAUAAUGGUUUAGUGAGGAGAUCAGCGAGUUGGUUACCUGUACGAACAUGCAGAGUUUUAAUUAAGCCCUUGUCAAUCUUUCCUCUAAUACUGUGACAAUCGCGUUCAAUGUGUUUGGUACGUUUGUGAUAAACGGUAUUGUUAGCGAUGUGGAUAGCUGAAGUGUUGUCACAAUAAAGAGAAGAAGCUUCUGAAACAUCGACCCAUAGAUCUUCCAGGAGAUAGCGUAGCCAAAUCAUCUCCUUUGCUGCAUAAGCUAAUGAUCGAUAUUCAGCCUCACUGGUGGACAUGGCAACAACAUCUUGCUUAUUCGAUUUCCAUGAGACCAGAGAAGUACCAACGAACAUGCAGAAGCCUGAAACUGAUCUGCGUGUGUCUGGACAAGUUGACCAAUCAGAGUCGGCAAAACCAGAUAGUUUCAAGUCAGACGUAGCAGAGUAAAAGAGACUCUGUCCUACGGUACCCUUCAAGUAAUGCAAGACCUUGUAAGCUGCAUUAAGAUGAGGAACACGAGGAGAGGACGUGUAUUGACAGAGUUUAUGGACUGCAAAGGUAAUAUCCGGGCGAGUAAAUGUCAGGUAAAGUAAUUUACCGACCAGUGUUCUGUAUUGUUCUGCGUUCUCCAGAAGAUCACCAUCAAUUUUGGACAGUUUGAGAUUUGGCUCCAUCGGAAUAGAAGAGGGUUUACAACCAAGAAGGCCAGUCUCAUCCAACAACUCAAGAGUGUAUUUUCGUUGACAAAGAGAGAUGCCAGAAGAGUUACGAGCAAUCUCUAAACCAAGAAAAUAACGCAAUUCUCCCAAAUCACGCAGCUUGAAAGAGCAUUGUAGAGCAUCCUUGAGAAGUGCAGUGGCGAUGAUAAUAUCGUCCACGUACACAAGAACAGCCAUAUAAACGUUACCCGCAUUUCUGAGGAACAGAGUGUGAUCACCUGAAGACUUAUGAAAACCAAGGUCGAGCAAAGCUUCUGAAAACUUCAAGAACCACUGACGGGAAGCCUGUUUAAGACCGUACAGGGAUUUUUGGAGCUUGCAGACAGCAUUAGGUGGCAGCUCUUCUCCUCCACGAGGAACAUAACCAGGAGGUAAAGACAUGUAAAUCUCUUCUUUUAAAUCUCCAUUCAAGAAGGCGUUAGAAAUAUCCAACUGAGUAAGAGACCAACCCUUUGCAGCAGCAACAGCAAUCAAGAGUUUAACAGUAGAAAGCUUGGCAACUGGUGAAAAGGUAUCGACAUAGUCAAGGCCUUCCUGUUGGGUAUAACCCUUAGCAACCAAACGAGCCUUGUAGCGCUCAAGACUCCCAUCAGCAUUCAACUUGACUUUGAAAACCCAUUUACAACCAACAGGCUUUUUACCUUCAGGUAAAGAACAGAUAAUCCAUGUUCCAUUGUCUUCAAGCGCAGUUAACUCGAUUCCCAUAGCAUCACACCACUCCUUAAGAUCCUUAGCCUGUUUAUAAGACGUUGGUUAUAGGAUCUUAUUCACAGCAUUAAUGAAGAUCAGAUAAGGGUCAGACAACGCAGAGUAGCAAAGGACCUCAGAGAGUGGAUGUUGAGUGGAAGAAUCAAGAGAAUAGCAAUGAUAGUCUUUAAGAUAAGAAGGAGGUUUAGAAGCUCUCGUACGUGUAGUAUCAGGUACAGCGUCUGAAGAUGUACCAGGUGAGGAAUUCUCCGUAUGAUCAGGGUGGACCACAGGAAAGAAAUCCAAAACAUCAGGAGAGAGACUUCCCCUCUGUCUAAAAGGAAACAAGUCCUCGUAGAAGACUACAUUGCGAGAGACAAAGACUGAAUUACUCUGAAGAUCAAGCAGCUUGUAACCUUUGUAUCCCGGUGGAUAUCCAAUGAAAACGCAGGCACAAGCUCGAUCUUGGAACUUGUGGCGAUGUUUAGGUGAAGUACUGACAUAGCAGAGACACCCAAACGUUUUCAGAUGAGUAUAUUCAGGCUUUUUGUGAAGAAGCAUCUCAAAUGGAGUUCUGUUGGAAAGGACCUUGGAAGGAGUCCGAUUGAUGAGAAAAACAGCUGUGAGAACACAUUCACCCCAUAGAGAGAGAGGCACUUGAGACUGAAACAACAAAGAUCUAGCAACAUUCAGGAUAUGCUGAUGCUUCCGCUCAACAACCGAGUUUUGUUCAGGCGUCUCUGGACAAGAAUGGUAGGAAACGAUGCCCUUUUUUUUGUACAAAGAAUCAAAUUUUAAUUCAGGUGCAUUAUCAGAUCGAACACCUUUUAUCUGUGCAUCAAAUUGUUUCUCAACCAUUGCUAUGUACUCAGGAAAGACUGUAAGAACAUCACUCUUUAAGCGCAUCAAGUAAAUCCAAGUGACCCUUGUGUGGUCAUCUACUAUUGUCAAAAAAAUCUUAAUCCCUCCUGUGUUGGUUCUGAGAAAGGCCCCCAAACAUCAAUGUGAAGCAAUUCAAAUGGAGAAGAACAGAAGUUGUGACGAGUAGGAAAAGACAAUUUCUUUUGCUUAGCACGAUGACAAAUAUCACAAUGCAGUAAACCCUUAUUUUUGGCUUUGGAAAUACCAAGUUCAUCCAUACGAAGGUCUAAACGUUCAAAAGAAGUAUGGCCAAGCCUUUGAUGCCAAACAGAUGCAUCAAUUACAGAGUUGUAAGAAAAGAAGUAGAAACAGGUUCUGCAGGUGCUGAAUCAUCCACAUCCAACACGUACAGAUUAGCUACCCGUCUACCGCUUCCAAUCGUCGAGCCCUUGAUACGAUCCUGUAUCAGACAAGAGUCAGGAUCAAAUAUCACUCGAGAGCCCAUAGCCGAUGUCAAAGCACUGAUACUCAACAAAUUCAGGCAAAACUCAGGUAUAUACAGAACAUUCUUCAAGACAAUAUCAGCAUUGAUUACAACACCACUGACUUUAACUGUAGCUCCAUUAGGUAAGUUCACAUGAUGCUGAACAGCAGUAUUAAUAUCACAGAACAGCGAGAUAUCGUGUGAAACAUUAUGAGUUGCACCAGAGUCAAUAAUCCAGGUUUUAACAGCAGUCACACAUUCAGUAACAUUAAGAAUACCGAUGAAACUGAAUGUGAAGGAUGAGAAAGUAAUACCAGAUGGGUUAUUGGCUUGAGAACUCGUACUUGCAGAAGACACAUUAGUGGAAGGAGUAUGUGGUUUCGGCUGUAGCUGAGAACUGAAGAAAGCAAUGAAAUUAUGUAUCUGAUCCUUAGUCAUGCUUCCAACAAGGCUAUCCAAACCUGGCUCUGAUACCAUAUUACAAACGAUGAGUGAUGAACAGAAAUGGAUCAAGCUCAAUCGAUCAUGGAGAAGAUGAGCUCGAGAGAGAAAGAUGAGAAGAAGAUAUUUUGGGAAAAUUUCUGUUAUUUCAUUAAGGGAAAUAUACAAGAGUUAUAUACAAUUGUUGUGUGAUACCCGGGACAAACCGGUUAACUAUUUACAGAUAGUAUUUACAAUAACCAACUAAACCAAGGCCUAAUAGUACCAGACUAGACUUUCUUUAUAAGAAAUCUUUGUACAAUUUAUCUAACAAUACAAACAGAAACAACAAGUUUAGUGAAAUUUUCUUACAUGAUAUUGCAGAGUUAUAUAAGUGACAUCUACCGUCCAAACUUAACAACCUUUCAAGUUUCAACAUACAAGAACUUCCAGAGUCGUAGAUUUAUAUACUUCGUGUAUUUCUAAAGUUUAAUCACAAAAGUGCAACUCUUAUUAGCAAUAGUAAUUCAAUCGUUCGUCUACAAAUGCGAAACAUUAAUACAAACUCAAAUUAGAGUUUCAUGGACUACAUAUAAUGUAUACAGUAAAACCUCUAUAAAUUAAUAAUGUUGGGACCAUGAUAUUUUAUUAAUUUAUCGUGAUAUUAAUUUAUCUAUAAAUUAAUAAUUAUUAAUUUAUAGAAAAAAUUGUUUUUUGCAUAUAAUUUUCUAAAAAUUUAUUUAGAAUAAUGUUAUAUUUUAUAAUUUUAACAAAUAUCAUAAUAUACAUUAUGAUUAAAAAUCAUAACUAUCACAAUAAAAUAAUUUUCAGUAUAUUAGAUUGUCCAUAAAAAAUAUACAUGUUCAUAAGUUUAAAAUUUAUAAAAAAAACUAUGGUUACUAUCAGUAUUAUUGAUGAUAAAAUUGAAGAUAAUACUACAAUACAUUUACAAAUAUUUACAUGUAAGAAAAUCAGUUAUCACAUCAAAAAAUCAUCAUAAAUUUUGAAUGUAUAUAGUAAAACAGCAAUAAAAGUUACUAAUAUAAUAAUUAGAGAGAUGACUUUAACUAAAAACAAACACAUUAGUCAUAUUUUAAAAUAUUAAAUUUAUAUAUAUUUGCAUAAAAUUAUAUAAUUAUUAAUUUAUGUUUUUGUUGGGACCAUGUAUUUACAUAAGGGUUUCAAAAAAAAUUAUUAUCUUCUUAUUUUAUCUAAUUUGAUGGAUUUUUACAUUGACCCGACUUGAAACCAGCAAAAUUUAUUAAUUUAUAGUGAUUAUUAAUUUAUCGAGUAUUAAUUUAUAGAGGUUCUAAUGUAUUUAAGGUAUGGAUCCCACGUACUAUUUUUAUAAGUUUACAAAAAUCAAUUCUUCGUAAACGUAUGACUCACAACUACAACAACCUGGCGUCACGCCUCAGUACGUAGUUUAUUAAAUAAACAGGUCAAAUAUUUAUGUUGCAUUCAAUACCAACUGCACAGGAAAAUAUUCCCAUAUUCAUGCAUGGUAACUCGUUCAACAAAUAAGAAUAAACUUACGUAAGCAUUACCACCCAACCAACAAAUUAAAUCUGGAAACAUGUUUGAAGUUUUCAAAUCACAUACUAGACAUUUCAAAUAUAUGAUCACCUUUUCAACAACUGUAGUGAAGUACUGAAAUAAAUAUAUACUUUAUUUUACAUGUCCUGUUAUUUUACAAUAUUUAGAUUUACAUUGUCAAGAAAAAAAUAACGUUCUUUGUUCUUUUGUUGGGCAUGGCUCGAUGCCUCGAUGGCUAGAGGAACUCUCAACUAAGCGUGUUGAACCGUUAAGGUUUGCCAUCCAGCUCAGCUGUAUUAACGACACGUGGAAAAGUCAGACCCAUUGAUUCAACAUUUGACUAAACUUCUACAGUUCUACUGUUCCGACUUACGAAUGUAUAGAGAAUCGCAGCCGCUUAAUGGGCCUCAUUGACUUAUUAGCCCAUAAAUGUCUUCGUGUAAAAUAUAUGUGCACAAAAAAAUGAAAAAGACGUUGUCAAGAAAGAAAAAAUGAAAAAGACUAUACAAUCUUUUUAACUAAGAAAUCUCAUUCUUUGUAUACAUCGAAACAGAGACAGAAAACACAACAAUAUUUGCUUUUGAGUUAUAGAAUGAUUUAAGAAAUUAUUAUUGUUUUGGGAUAGUUUUUUAUAUGACUUUAUAUAUAGAUAAAUAUCACAUUUAUGUUCAAAAUCUGUUUAUAUUAACAAACUGGUUUAAGAAAGAUAAUCUAAAAUAUAUAGCAUAAAAUAAAUUUGAAUUACCCUUAAUUUUUUUUGGGGUAAAAUUUACCCAUAGUUAUAGAAAAGUAAAUACUAUGGAUAAACUCGAAACUAGUAAACUUAUCAGGUAAGUAGUCUUCAAUCACGUGUCUAUUCACUAGAGAUUUCUCGGAAAAAAAAAAUUCUUGCAUCGGCCUAUGAUAUCGGACUGUGAGAACUGAGAAUCAUCAAAAUGCAAGGAGGAAUAGUGCAUCUCACCACUCCAGUCUUCACUGAAUGUCGUCAACAUGUGAUGGGAGCAUACACACAAACGGAAAAAAGGCCGAUUCGUACCUCAACACUAUAACUUGUACCAAUAAAUAUCCAUACAAUUUUAAUAGGUUAAUCAGUACCUGAACUUAUUAAAAUUGGUAAAUACAUACCUCAACAAUGUUUUUGUGGCCAAUUAGUACAUUGACUUACUGUUAGUCAAAUCUGUUAAUUUGCAAACAGAAUCCGACUCAGAUGCCACGGUGGAUGUUGUGUUCGAAUGAAACCAAUACAACGUCGUUUAAGGUUAAAAAUUUGGAAAAAGAGGCAAAAACAACGUCGUUUUAAAUUUAUUAUUCAUUAAAAAAAUAAACCAUCUAUAUCUUUUUUCAUCUUCGUCGUCCCUCUUCUUCGUCAACUUAAAACGGGGAAGAACAUCGAUAGUUAGGGUUUGGGUAGUGUUCGAAAAAAUCGGAAUGACUUCAUUGUCGAACUCUUACGCUUCCUCGAAGAUUCCAGGUAGGUUUAAGUUUGCAAUUUUGAUUUUGAUUUUGAUUCAAACACUUUCAGAAAAUCAAAUCGGAAAUUUCAAUUUUGAUUUUUUAAAAAUGUAUAAUAAAUUUAAAACGACGUCGUUUUUGCCUCUUUUUCCAGAUAUUUAACCUUAAACGACGUCGUAUUGGUUUCAUUCGAACACAGCAUCCACUAUGGCAUCUGAGUCGGAUUCCGUUUACAAAUUAACAGAUUUGACUGACAGAGAGGAAGUCAAUAUACUAAUUGGCCACAAAAAUAUUAUUGAGGUAUGUAUUUACCAAUUUUAAUAAGUUCAGGUACUGAUUUACCUAUCAAAUUUUUUUGGGUAUUUAUUGAUACUAAAUUAUGGUGUUGAGGUACUAAUCGGCAUUUUUCCCACACACAAACUAGGAAGACAUUCACUGGCCAAACCUAACUAACGUUCAUGCUUUGAUGGUGUAUUGUAGGAACGCCCCGAACCUACUUAACACAUGACACAUGCAUACUAUCGACAAACGGAAAACAUAUUAGUCCCAUAGAAUAGUGAGUGAUGGAUGCUGUAUCCGAAGUCCGAACCCGAUUAAAAUAUAUAUCACAUAGAUACCUAGCUAGACGCCUAAUACAAAGUGAUAUAUAUAUAUAUAAGAGAUAUUGACUCUCGAGUCUCGACCAAUAUAUAUCUUAAAAUAUUCAAAAUGUACCCUAAACACCUAAAAUCUUAGAACAACCAUAUACUAUCUCAAGCGGUUGCUUCCUCGUUUAACCUCUUUACGAGCCUUUUGUCACUCUAGCGUAAGAGGGCCUUUGAAAUAUCCCACAUUGGUGUCUCGAGUGAUUUGAUCGCUUCUUUCGUGGUGUACAAGUUUAUUUACUCUUCACUGAAUCACGUAUUAAAAUAUGUUUUAGCGUAAUCCUUGAAACAUUAUGAACUCCUUGGAUUCUCUAUUAAUGAGAACACAAUAUAUGUAGAAAUCGAUCUCACGCAACUAAUAAUCUACAUACUAUUUUUACUUACAAUUUAUGUAACUCAUAAUAUUUAUGUUAUUUUCAUAUGUUUAUCUUUCUCUACGCAAACAACACAACAAAUGUGGAAAUAUAUAUGGUCCAAUGGCUGACUGAUGAGAAUGACAAACAUUAUGAAUUUUUGCAGAUCAAGAGAGACAAACCCUUACUAGAGGUGCAAGGUAAAGUAUAAAAUGGUUAUUCAUAAAUAUGAUGCAAGUAAAAUCGUUUAUCGUAAAUCUCUGUAAUACAAGUAUAAUGGUACGCUGUUGUAGAAUUAUUUUAUUGUAUUUCUAAUUUACAAUUACUGUAAAAAAUUAGUUUUGCGUAAAUUAAUAAAUCAUCAUAAUAUGGUGGUAAAAAAUAAAAACUGAAAAGUUAUAUAAGGUUAUUAAAACUUUUAACAAAAAAAUAUAAGGUUAUCAAAAAACUGCAGAUUAACUGUAUAAUGUGAGCUGUGUUUUGAUAGAUAUACACUCCAUAUAAGAUAAGAAAAGAUUAUAGGGGUAGGGAACAAAAGGAAAGUUGGUAAAGGUGAAAAAGAAAUAAAAAAUACCAUAGAAGAAAGCUCGGUACAGAUAAAUAGAGAAAUAGACAAUCGAGGUCCAAAAAAAAAAAAAAAAAAAAAGAGAAAUAGACAAUCUACACACACUGAUUUUAAAUCUUCCUCCUCAUCCUCCUCGGUUUCCGGCGAGUGUUUAUCUUCUUCUCCGGCACAUCGACUCGUCUUUCCGAUCAGGUCUCAGCUUCGUUUCCGCACCUGUCCUAAAAACUUAAUGUUUAUCUUAUAUUUUAGCUUCCACAUUACUAUAGCAUGAAUUCACUUCGUAAUCUGAGAUCUUUUGUUUCUCUUUGGUCUCACCUCUAGCUCAAAAUCGAAGCUAUACUAUAGUAUAAUGAUUAUUAUAAUUUGUCUUUUUAGUUUCCUCGAUCUACUCCUUCGAUUUUACUCUCAAGACCAUUGAUAAUCCCAAUUGCUCUAUUGCAGAAUCCUUUCCCAGAAGAUUUGAGGGAUCUAAUUGUUGCAUCGACGAGUUGAUUGCUGUGAAGUAGAAACCCUAGAGGCCUCAGGAUUUUGCAUAAAUCGGCUGAUUGUAAUUUGAAACCGAGGAUGUGUAGGCAAAAUUGUCGCGCGAAAUCCUCACCGGAGGAGGUGAUUUCAGCUGAUGAGAAUCUCUUGAUAUAUUGUAAACCUGUUCAGCUUUACAACAUUCUUCACAUUCGCUCUCGAUCCAACGUAUGAUUUGCUUCUCUCUCUCUCUCUCUCUCUGUCUCUCAUCAGUUUUUGUUUUUAGCUCAAUCUCACAUGUGAGACAGUAGUUUGGGUUUUAGGUUUAGCUGAUUCUGGUCUGUGACUCACUCAUGGUGGCGAGUUUGUGCUUCUUUUGCCUCUUAUGUUUAUCUUCACUUUGUUCUUUGUUUAUGCAGCCAUCGUUUCUUCCAAGAAGCUUGAACUACAGAAUUCGAGCAAAGGGCCUAAGAAGGUAUGAGAUUUCUUCUUGGAUUGAAUAGUCACUAAAGUGAUUAUGGAAACAGAUUAUAUAUACAUUAUACCUAGGUUGAGUAGAUAUGUUGAGUAGAUAUGGACAUGUUGAGAGGUUUCUUCUCUGUUCAUGCUAAUGCUCUUAUAAUUCUCUAUUGUGUUUCGAUUAGGUCCAGAUCUGCUGGGAUGGUAGUUUUCAACUAUAGGGAUUGCGAUAACACAUCUCAGAAAACUGAAGGUGAGUUCUUUCUCUGUUCUUGGGCAUUUCGAUGUAUGUGUCUCUCUCUCUAUGUUUCUCUAGUUUACUUUUUAUUAUAAAAAAUUCUGUAUUGUCAUGCAGUUAUGGAGAAUUGUUCUUGUCCAUUUUGCGAUAUGCUAUGUGGUAGCUUCAAGGUGCGAAACUAUUACUACUGAGAUUUCUUCCGAGGCCUUCCAUAUUUGUGAAAUGGUGCUGCUGUUUCAUGUCGUAUACUUGCAUAUUUUGUGUUUCGUUGAUCUUCUCACUCUUUUUAACUGACGAGUGUGGUUAUCCGGGAAAACGUGUUCCACUUGAAGCUUACAAUCCAUUGUCUUGUGUCUGUGCAGGGGCUGCAACUUCAUUUAAAUUCAUUUCAUGACUUAUUUGAAUUUGAGUUCGUGGUAUGUGCUUUUUAAUGGAUUUCCUUGUUUUGCUAUGUCUUGUUGUUUUUAUAUGAAAUCAUAGUUAAUAAGGGUCUUUCCUAUUAUAGGUUUCAGAAGAAUACCAGACAGUUAAUGUCUCUGUAAAACUUGAUGCAUUCGGAUUUGAGGUCAGCUACGUUUAAUUUGGUAACUUAGUAAAACCUUCAGGUGGUCAACAUUUUAGUUGAUAUUCCUUCCUUCUUUAUUUCAGGUAGAAGGAAGUCAAGAAGAUAAGUUUGAACCGUUCUCUUUUUGGUAACUUAUCAAAAGCCAACUUUUCAAAACCCCUUAAAUAUCAGCAAAUUCUUUGCUUUUCUUUUCAGUACAUCUCCAUGAACCCAAACAAAAUGUCUUGCAGUUCGAAGCCUCGUCAGCGUACACAAAGAGGUGGUAGAAAAAGGCGACUUAAUGUACGCUUUUUACCAAUGGAUUCACCCAGUUUAGCUAAUGAGACAGAAAAUGGAAACGCACUGCUGAAUGAUGGUAAAAUCUCCUCUUCUCCUUUUGGCUUUGCGCUUCGAAUUUUGGGAGAAGAUAUAGUGUCUUGAUUAUUCGGUUAUUGUACUUCUCCUCUCAUUCUUUUCUCGAGGGAAAUAUUACCAUAACUGAUAUACAAAAUUAAUGGCAUGCUGCAGGAAACCGUGGUUUAGGAAAUCCUGAGUCAACUAAUCUCGCUGGACAAUUUGGGAUGACUAGCAACACUCCACCAGCCAUAGCUCAAUCUUCUCUGGACUCCGAUGGUAAAGCUAUGUUAACAAGCGAAGCUGUGGUGGCCCCUCCUGCUAAGACAAGAAAGUUAUCUGCUGAGCGCUCAGAGGCUAGAAGGUUUGUUCAUCAUGACAGUCAGUUUUAGUAGUUUACCAUUCCUGUUUUUACAACCUGUUCUUCCUAUUAUGAAUUGCUGUUUCCUUAACUGCCAUAUUAACCGGAAAUUUUUCUUUCAGCAACCUACUUCUCCAGAAACGCCAGUUCUAUCAUUCUCACGGAGGUCAGGUGAUUCAAGUUCCUUCACCGACUUAUUUUGCAUGUUAUUUGAAUUGCACCGUUAUCAUAUCCUACCAAAGUAGACUUGUUCCCAAUCCAAGUUACUCUUUCUCAUUAAUAGUUUGUAUCUAUAUCCACGCGAAUAAUGAGAUGUCCAUGUUACUGUUAUAUUGUCACUAACCAAAAACUGCAUGUUUUUGUGACAAAGCCAAUGUCACUUGAGCAAGUGAUGUCUGGUGGAGAUAGUGAAGAUGAAGUUGAUGAUGACGUUGCAGAUCUCGAAGAUCGCCAGGUAUUCCAUGAUUUCUUUCUGAAUUUCAUUUGAUAAACAACGAACAAUGGUGUAUAUGAUGUAGCUUGCUAAUGGCUUUUGAAACUUACAAAAAAGCUGCAGAUGCUUGAUGACUUUGUGGAUGUGAAUAAAGUCGAAAAGAGACUCAUGCACCUCUGGAACACAUUUGUAAGGAAGCAAAGGUAAUACACAUUAAUACACACAUAUGCACAGGUUUACGUGAGAUUCAUGGUAACGAUAUACUGUACAGUAGAAUUGCUUUUGCUAUAGAAUAGGUUAUCUAAUAAUAUAUAGAUGUUGAAUAG
rnacentral:lncRNA from 1 species